CAGCCGCCGCGGUAAUACGAAGGGGGCUAGCGUUGUUCGGAUUUACUGAGCGUAAAGCGCACGUAGGCGGACUUUUAAGUCAGGGGUGAAAUCCCGGGGCUCAACCCCGGAACUGCCUUUGAUACUGGGAGUCUUGAGUUCGAGAGAGGUGAGUGGAAUUGCGAGUGUAGAGGUGAAAUUCGUAGAUAUUCGCAGGAACACCAGUGGCGAAGGCGGCUCACUGGCUCGAUACUGACGCUGAGGUGCGAAAGCGUGGGGAGCAAACAGGAUUAGAUACCCCGGUAGUCCCUGUCUCUUAUAA
rnacentral:rRNA from 1 species